rnacentral:rRNA from 1 species
CCAAUAGCGUAUAUUAAAGUUGUUGCAGUUAAAAAGCUCGUAGUUGAACUUCGGGGUUCCCCCAUUGGUCAGGCUUAACGGUCUGUACUGGUGGGAGGGAUUCUUACCUUCUGAGGAAUCUCCAUGCCAUUAAUUUGGUGUGGUGGGGAAUCAGGGCUAUUACUUUGAAAAAAUUAGAGUGUUUAAAGCAGGCUAACGUCUGAAUACAUUAGCAUGGAAUAAUGAAAUAGGACGGCUUGGUUCUAUUUUGUUGGUUUCUAGGAUCACCGUAAUGAUUAAUAGGGAUAGUUGGGGGCAUUAGUAUUCAAUUGUCAGAGGUGAAAUUCUUGGAUUUAUUGAAGACUAACUACUGCGAAAGCAUUUGCCAAGGAUGUUUUCAUUAAUCAAGAACGAAAGUUAGGGGAUCGAAGACGAUCAGAUACCGUCGUAGUCUUAACCAUAAACUAUGCCGACUAGGGAUCGGACGAAGUUAAUUUUUAAAUGACUCGUUCGGCACCUUACG